GUUAAGCGACUAAGCGUACACGGUGGAUGCCUAGGCAGUCAGAGGCGAUGAAGGGCGUGCUAAUCUGCGAAAAGCGUCGGUAAGGUGAUAUGAACCGUUAUAACCGACGAUACCCGAAUGGGGAAACCCGG
rnacentral:rRNA from 1 species